UCCUGAAAAGAGCAAAAGAAUUUCCUUGAAUAUGGUAUUAUGUUCAAUGCAACCAGACAUUAUAACUGAAUAAUAAGACGAAGCCUAAGGUGAAAAAAUCUAUGAUAAUUGAUAGUGCCUGCAAGAGUGCACUAUGAAUUUGCACCUUUGAGUUUUCUAAAAAUUCAUUUCCUUCUCUUCGGCCUAAUUUAAGAGGCCUACAAGAAGCGAUGGGCUAAUAUUUGGAAAAUUAGGAAAUAUAUUGUAUAUUCUAUAUAAUUAUGACUAUUAAUUGAUGGCUGACAAAAAAUAUAACGUACAAUGAAAUAAGAACGGAGUACUCAUUCCUUAUUUGGUUGUAA
rnacentral:lncRNA from 1 species